UGCUAACAAAAACACAUAAUCAACAAUUUCAUAAUGAUGCAAAUGUAUUGAUAAUACUCGCAUAGCUUUGCUUAGUCACUGACCGCGGUAAACAAAUUUCAGAUGGAAGACAUAAAUAAAUCGCAUUGGAAGGAGGCGUGGCAGAGGACACUAACCAGUUGUAAUUGAGAAAUUAAAGCAAACAGUUCCAAGAACUACAGGACCUUUGGAGAAAUCGCAUAUAUAGUAUGAAAAAAAUAAUAAUAAUAACACAAGGUCUCAUA